rnacentral:rRNA from 1 species
AUGUUCUUGAACUUAAAAAAUUUGGCGGUAUUUUAGUCUAUUCAGAGGAACCUGUUCUAUAAUCGAUAAUCCACGAUGGACCUUACUUAAAUUUGUAAUCAGUUUAUAUACCGUCGUUAUUAGAAUAUUUUAUAAGAAUGAUAAUUUUCAUAAUUUUUUAUUAAAAUAUAUAUCAGAUCAAGGUGUAGCUUAUAUUUAAGUAGAAAUGGGUUACAAUAAAUUUAUUUAUACGGAUAUAAAUUUGAAAAGUUUAUUGAAGGUGGAUUUGAAAGUAAAAUUAUAAAGAUAAAUAAUUUGAUUUUAGCUCUAAAAUAUGCACAAAUCGCCCGUCACUCUCUGA